rnacentral:tRNA from 11 species
AUUCAAUAGCUAAGUGGAUAACGCGAUAGCAUUUGAGGCGAACGGUACUGGUUUCGAAUCCCAGAUUGAAU